rnacentral:rRNA from 1 species
UACGGAGGGUGCGAGCGUUGUCCGGAAUCACUGGGCGUAAAGGCGCGUAGGUGGCCUGUGGAAGUCUGCGGUGAAAGCCCGGCGCUCAACGCCGGGUCGGCCGUGGAUACUCUCGGGCUCGAGCUUACUAGAGGCAGAUGGAAUUCCGGGUGUAGCGGUGGAAUGCGUAGAGAUCCGGAAGAACACCAGUGGCGAAGGCGGCCCGCUGGGCAGUGGC